AUGACAGAUUGUCUAGACACUAGGAGUACGUUAGGAGUGGAUUUAGUACAAGUUGCCAGUAACAACCAUGUGUUUCAGGAAGCCGUGGAAUUGUUGUUACAUGUGCAUGUGUUCAACAGAUACAGAUACAUAAAUCCUGCAUUCAGAGUUUACAAAAACAAGAAUAGUUGUAAUAGUUGAAUGACCAGCAGAAGCUAUAACAUUGAGAGAAGACAAAAAGAGAAAAAUAUAUGUUACUGUUCUCGCAGAGGUAUUCGGUAAAAUAUGUGUGUAUCGGUGUUACGAGUUGUAACGACUCAAACAUGAACUGAGUUCCACUUGUUUUUCUACAGAUCAUGCCCGUUUUAUAGACUGUGUAAUUUAUAUAACAUAUUUUAUACACACUAGGUAACAACAGUAUCAUCUGUAAUACAAAUUGCCAAACGAUUUAUUAAAGCUAUAUUUCAACAGCUGAGUUCCCGAAUAUAAAAACAUUGAAAAACAUAUUUGAACUACAGUAGGGGAAUGCAUUUGUUGUCCAAAAAACUUAUAAUGGAAAUGCAACUGGGCUAAUGGCAUACAGUGUGCUAUAAGGAAUAUUUUGUUGAAUUUCAAUACCAAAAUGCACAUGGGACCUCUGUAAAUCUAAAUUGUAAUGGUACAAAGUAAUUGUUAACUAUUUUAUUAAAGUGUAAUGAUACAA